UCACUAGUGGCUGAUAAAGAAUCUGCCUGAAAUGCAGGAGACCUAGGUUUGAUUCCUGGCUAGGGAA
rnacentral:tRNA from 1 species